rnacentral:rRNA from 1 species
UACGUAGGGUGCAAGCGUUAAUCGGAAUUACUGGGCGUAAAGCGUGCGCAGGCGGUUGUGCAAGACAGAUGUGAAAUCCCCGGGCUCAACCUGGGAAUUGCGAUGGAGACUGCAAGGCUUGAAUCUGGCAGAGGGGGGUAGAAUUCCACGUGUAGCAGUGAAAUGCGUAGAGAUGUGGAGGAACACCGAUGGCGAAGGCAGCCCCCUGGGUCAAGAUUGACGCUCAUGCACGAAAGCGUGGGGAGCAAACAGG